rnacentral:rRNA from 1 species
UCGCCUGUUUAUCAAAAACAUGGCCUCUAGGAUAUAAGAUUAGAGGUUCGUCCUGCCCUAUGAACAGAUGUUUAAAUGGCCGCGGUACUCUGACCGUGUUAAGGUAGCAUAAUAAUUUGCCUUUUAAUUGGAGGCUGGAAUGAAUGGAUAGACGAGAGUAUGGCUGUCUCUUUUCUAUAAAUAAAAAUUAAUAUUCAAGUGAAGAAGCUUGAAUAGAGUAAAAAGACAAGAAGACCCUAUUGAGCUUUAUAUAUGAGAAAAUUUAAGGUGGACUAAUUAGUAGCAUUUUUAGAGGUAUAUUUAGUUGGGGCGACUUGAGAAGAUAAUAGAUCUUCUUUUUAUAUAACGAUAAUAAAUUUUAAUCCACUUAUGUGAGUAGAUAAUUAGCUACCAUAGGGAUAACAGGCUAAUCUUUUUUGAGAGUUCAUAUCGAAAGACGGGUUUGGCACCUCGAUGUUGGCUUAGGAUAACAAUUAGAUGCAGAAGUCUAAUAGAGUGGGUUUGUUCAACCCUUAAACUCCUACGUGAUCUGAGUUCAAACCGG